ACUUUAAGAACUGACUGAAAAAGCUGUUAUAGGGUAGCUGGUGCUUAAUGCUGUGUGUGUGUGUGUGUGUGUGUUAAAUGGUCAGUAUUCUUGUAAAAGUAAAUUAUAAAGCACUACUUGGCUCUGCUCAGCUCAGUCUGUUUGCAUAAAGUGUGUGUGUGUGUGUGUGCGUGUGUGUGUGUGUGUGUGUGUGUGUGUGAGUGACGGAGGAGCAUGUAGGUCCUUGUAGGAAUGAAGUGCACUUGAUAAAAUUAAAAU